GAUGAACGCUGGCGGCGUGCCUAACACAUGCAAGUCGAGCGAACAGACGAGGAGCUUGCUCCUUUGACGCUAGCGGCGGACGGGCGAGUAACACGAGGAUAACCUACCUAUAAGACUGGGAUAACUUCGGGAAACCGGAGCCAAUACCGGAUAAUAUAUCGAACCGCAUGGUUCUAUAGCGAAAGACGGCUUUGCUGUCACCUAUAGAUGGAUCCACGCCGCCUUAGCUAGUUGGUAAGGUAACGGCUUACCAACGCACCGAUGCGUAGCCGACCUGGGAGGCUGCUCGGCCACACUGGAACUGAGACACCGUCCCGACUCCUACGGGAGGCCGCCGUAGGGAAUCUUCCGCCCUGGGCGAAGGCCUCACGGAGCACCCCCGCGUGAGUGAUGAGGGUCUUCGGAUCGUAAAACUCUGUUAUUAGGGAAGAACGAAUGUGUAACUAACUAUGCACGUCUUGCCCGUACCUAGUCAGAACGCCGCGCCUACCUUCUUG
rnacentral:rRNA from 1 species